ensembl:antisense
AGAUGCAACGUUACUUUGUAAACUUUAGGACAACAUGCUUCGGUGUGGAGCUUUUCAUGUUUAUAACAUUUACUUACGUUUAAUAAACAAGUGCUUAUUCGUUUAAUUUGAAAUGCACAUAGUUUUCAAGAUAGCCUGAUAAAGCUGUGGUAGUAAGUAAAUUAAGCGAUGGAAAAGCCGGAUGAAGCCGCAGUCGGUGUGCAGGAGUCUGCAGAAGCAGAGGGGCCGCAGUCUCUCUCUUUUCCAGAGGUUUUCCGCAGGAUUCAAGCGGGAGAGGAAGUUCCCGGACUCCAGAAGCUGGAUAUCAAGCCUUGCCACGACCAGCCCACGGUUUCUCAGAUGCCCAGAAAAACAAAACCAUGGGAAAAAUAACUUGUGCCUCAAAAUUAUAACACGCGGACUGGUUUAUCUCUUGUAAAGUAAAACAUUUUGUAUUAUUUUACACUAAUGAAUAGCAGAUCUGUGGAUAUACGUGUAAGAUAAUACAUGCUACUUUAAGAUUUAGCAUCAAAACCUGCCUGAUACCUACAACUUUAAAAGGUUCACGCCAAAAUAAAAACGUUUGGCUCGUUUGACCAUUCAAGAUGUAUGAAAGUUUUUUUCUUAGUUUAGUAUAUUUUGAAAAAUGUUCAAAACCUGUAUCCUUCAACUUUCUUCGCAUUUGUUUUAUUGAUGUAAAUGGUUGGAUUUUUCCAACAAUUAUCUUUUGUGUAACGGAAUACAAAACAAUGAUUUGGAGCAAGUGAAGGAUUUCAUUUUGGGGUGAACUAUCCUUUUAAGUAAAAAAAAGUGAAUAGUGCUCAUCAAAGAAUACUUUUGUUGGUCCAAAAUCCCUAUUGAGGCAGCUUUAAGGAAAUCCACAAAACAUACAGUAUACAAUGAAACGAUCAGUCAUUUUUCAAUAAAAAUGACAAUAAUUUUACAAACACAUUCAUGAAACAGCAGUUCACAGCCUCUUGCAUGACCUAUGCACAUUGUAAAGGUGGAAGUAUGCUGCUUAAGUAUGGAUUUCAAUGAUAAAACAUGGUCUGCUCUGAGCCUUCACUUGCAUUAAAUGUAUUAAAAAUAUUCCUCCAAAACUUUCCUUUAUGGAAAAAACAACAACUCAAAUCUCUGAUGACCUGGGGGUCAAUUAUGAAAUUUUCAGUUUUUGCAAAAAUAUUCCCUUAAAGACUUUGUGGAUAAAGACAAGUAGAAAGCGGCGUCAACCAGCUCAAACAUAUGCUCUUCGUCUUGUUAUUGUCAAGUGGUUCCUCAUUGCUUCAUGUGCUCAUAAAAGGGAAAUGCAAACCAUUGACACACAUCCUGCUUCAGAGUUAAUUAGAGGAAGUGAGCGUCGCUGCCAAAUGGUCAGCUAGCAGUCAAAUGUGCAGAUCAGACACUAGAUAAUAACAGCAAUGUUAUGCACUAACCUAUACUCAUAAAAGUGGCUUGCUCAUGUCGGUUUCAUUGUUGGCAGGUUGGACUCAGUUCUAAGUGGACUACUUUAUAGAAACAGACUUUGAUAAGUACUUUAUUUUUUCAUUCACAAAAAUAGUUUUGUUUCGAUGGUCAAUAAAAAAAGCUGAGAAUUCAAGGUAUAGAAACGUCCCUGAAUAAAAAGACAUUCAAAAGUCAAAGUCCAAAAUGAUGGACUGAAGGCAAGUGCAGCAGAACAGCAGGAAUAAGCCAGUAUGUGCAUUCGAGUGUCCAGCGGGGUCUUUAAUAAUAAAAAAUGUAAACGGUCACCCCAUGGAUUGGUCAAAACUCUUCUGGUUCACCACCCUCAUCUUCCGGGAUUACAAACCCUUCCUGUUGAAAGAUGGAGUAAAACAGAACUGAGCAGGAUGAAGAAAGUUUAACGUCAGUCUUAUUUACACAUACUGAUAUUGGCUUACAUCUGUGGCGUACAGAAUAUCCACGAUCUUCUGCAGUGUUGGAUCACCCUCACCCUCUUUCUCUUGACAGAUGAGCUCGAUGUUUCUCAACUUGCCGAAGUAGAAAUCCCUUUCCUUUUCCAUGUCAGCAAUGGUGGCCUUCAAGUCAUUUAUCUGCUCGGAUGAACAGAACAACAAUCAGUAAAACAUUCAAUAUAAGGAUACUGAAUUAAACCUAGAAUUAUAAAACAACCGUUACAAGUUGACCAAAUAGUUUAAAUUCUAAUUAAAUCAUGUAAUAUAAAACAAUGAUGGCAUUUUCAUAAUUUAUGUUGUGAAGCUUCUUAAAGCAAUGUACUCAAAUAAAAUACAUUCAACUACAUUAAAUCAA